AAACAAUCAUCUGCCGUAAAGUCAUGGAAUUGCACCAUCAGAAGCAUCAUCAACAUAUGUGUACAACUUGAAUGCUGCCAAGGCGCAGUUUGCUGAAGCACAGAAAAGCUGAUGUGACUACGACCAUCCCAUGUUGAAGCUAUCUGGGAUGCCGCCAGCUGGAAGGAUAUCUUUAAUCACCUCGUUGCCGCUGCUAAGAGACGUUUGUGUCAUCCAAGUUUUAAGUGACCUAGAGAAGCCUACCUAUAUAGUAUGUGCAAGAAAAUCAUUUGCAGCUGUUCGAACUUGUGGGAGGAAUGUAGGUCAAAGCGGCUGAUGAGUGAUAUUUUUAAAUAAAUAAUUUAACUACAACACAUUCCGCGUUUGUGAUAAUCAACGAAAAGAUGCGAAAUUUGA